CCCUAGUAACGGCGAGUGAAGCGGCAACAGCUCAAAUUUGAAAUCUGGCGCAAGCCCGAGUUGUAAUUUGUAGAGGAUGCUUCUAGGUAGCGACCGGUCUAAGUUCCUUGGAACAGGACGUCAUAGAGGGUGAGAAUCCCGUAUGCGACCGGCCCGCACCUUCUACGUAGCUCCUUCGACGAGUCGAGUUGUUUGGGAAUGCAGCUCUAAAUGGGAGGUAAAUUUCUUCUAAAGCUAAAUACCGGCCAGAGACCGAUAGCGCACAAGUAGAGUGAUCGAAAGAUGAAAAGCACUUUGGAAAGAGAGUUAAAAAGCACGUGAAAUUGUUGAAAGGGAAGCGCUUACAACCAGACUUCUGGGCGGUGUUCCGCCGGUCUUUUGACCGGUCUACUCGCCGUCCCGAGGCCAACAUCAUCUGGGACCGCUGGAUAAGACCUUAGGAAUGUAGCUUCCCUCGGGAAGUGUUAUAGCCUGUGGUGAUGCAGCGCGUCUCGGGUGAGGUCCGCGCUUCGGCAAGGAUGUUGGCGUAAUGGUUGUCAGCGGCCCGUCUUGAAACACGGACCAAGGAGUCUAACAUCUAUGCGAGUGUUCGGGUGUCAAACCCCUACGCGUAAUGAAAGUGAACGGAGGUGGGAAGGGUGACCUGCACCAUCGACCGAUCCUGAUGUCCUCGGAUGGAUUUGAGUAAGAGCAUAGCUGUUGGGACCCGAAAGAUGGUGAACUAUGCCUGAAUAGGGUGAAGCCAGAGGAAACUCUGGUGGAGGCUCGCAGCGGUUCUGACGUGCAAAUCGAUCGUCAAAUUUGGGUAUAGGGGCGAAAGACUAAUCGAACCAU
rnacentral:rRNA from 1 species